GGUAGUGUUGUUUGUGUAUUCAUAGGGGUGAGUGUGUGAGCAUCUCUUCAUUGUGUUUCAAAAAAAAGAAGAUAUUUUAUAACUUCUUGAUUUGUACAAAGGGAUAUACUGCACUGGUAGUGGUAACCCCUAAAAAUUGGAAGAAACUUUGUUUUUUUCCUUGGAAUGAUCAUCGGGCGGCCUUGUACCAAGGAAUUCUUACACAGAGUUACAUUCUUCUGCUAAAAACAAGAAUGUGUCCUUGCUAAAGGCUGCAGCUACAGAACAUUUUCAGACCUCGUUCCAUCUGCCUUUAUCCCACAAGCCUAUGACCAAGUUCCAAUUGCUUGCCGAACAUCUUGAGUUCUUGACAACUGCCCCUUCACUAAAGAAGAUGACACCUGGACUUACAUUUGAGGCAAUUGCACUUUGAAA
rnacentral:lncRNA from 1 species